GGGGUAACGGAAGUAGCUUGCUACUAGACGACGACCGGCGCACGGGUGAGUAACGCGUAUGUAAUCUGCCUUGUACAGAGGGAUAGCCCAGAGAAAUUUGGAUUAAUACCUCAUAGUAUUACUGAGUCGCAUGAUUUGGUAAUUAAAGCUCCGGCGGUACAAGAUGAACAUGCGUGACAUUAGCUAGUUGGUAAGGUAACGGCUUACCAAGGCUACGAUGUCUAGGGGUUCUGAGAGGAUGAUCCCCCACACUGGUACUGAGACACGGACCAGACUCCUACGGGAGGCAGCAGUGAGGAAUAUUGGUCAAUGGACGCAAGUCCGAACCAGCCAUCCCGCGUGAAGGAUGACUGCCCUAUGGGUUGUAAACUUCUUUUAUAUGCAAAUAAACCUACUUUCGUGAAAGUAGCUGAAGGUAGCAUAUGAAUAAACACCGGCUAACUCCGUGCCAGCAGCCGCGGUAAUACGGAG
rnacentral:rRNA from 1 species